rnacentral:rRNA from 1 species
CCUCGGGAGUCUGCAGUGGGGAAUAUUGGACAAUGGGCGAAAGCCUGAUCCAGCCAUGCCGCGUGUGUGAAGAAGGCCUUCGGGUUGUAAAGCACUUUCAGUGGGGAAGAAAGCCUUGGGGCUAAUACCCUCGAGGAAGGACAUCACCCACAGAAGAAGCACCGGCUAACUCCGUGCCAGCAGCCGCGGUAAUACGGAGGGUGCGAGCGUUAAUCGGAAUUACUGGGCGUAAAGCGCGCGUAGGCGGUCUGAUAAGCCGGUUGUGAAAGCCCCGGGCUCAACCUGGGAACGGCAUCCGGAACUGUCAGGCUAGAGUGCAGGAGAGGAAGGUAGAAUUCCCGGUGUAGCGGUGAAAUGCGUAGAGAUCGGGAGGAAUACCAGUGGCGAAGGCGGCCUUCUGGACUGACACUGACGCUGAGGUGCGAAAGCGUGGGUAGCAAACAGGAUUAGAUACCCUAGUAGUC